UGGUAAUAACAAUGCGAGUGCAGUUUUAGAUUUCUUAAGAUAUGGUUUUCGACUAUAUUAAUUAUUGCAAUGUCGUGUCGGUCGCCAUCGGUAUGGAGACGUCGAUAACAUCAAUAAGGUGGACCAAAUACGUGCAUAAUAUUAUAUCAUUUUCACAAAUCAUAGUGGUCCUCAAGAUUUUGAGUUGGACGAGACGGAAUUUAUUGGUCGUACAAUGAUCCGGGUCAUUUGUAGAGCUUCUGAAAAUUUGUGCAAUCAAACUUCCAUAAUACUAUAAGUAAUAACCAAUAAGGUAAAUGCGGAUGAUGGGAAAAACUGAGCCACGAGUCUAUAACAGAGAUAUACCCACUGCACGUACUGCAACACGUUUAAGGUGCUAGGUGCAUAGAUGCAAACUAUUGGAUUAAAAAAAAAAGCAUUGAAUAUAAAUAAUUGUCGUCGAAAACUCGACGAAAAUCGGCUCAGG